AUACGUAGGGUGCGAGCGUUGUCCGGAUUUACUGGGUUUAAAGGGUGCGUAGGCGGGCGGAUAAGUCUGAAAUGAAAUCCCAGGGCUUAACCUUGGGGCUGUUUCGGAGACUGUCGGCCUUGAGUGAGAGAGAGGUCGCUGGAAUGAGUGGUGUAGCGGUGAAAUGCGUAGAGAUCACUCAGAACACCAAUUGCGAAGGCAGGCGACUGGUUCUCAACUGACGCUGAGGCACGAAAGCGUGGGGAUC
rnacentral:rRNA from 1 species